rnacentral:rRNA from 1 species
UUCCAGACUCCUACGGGAGGCAGCAGUGGGGAAUAUUGCACAAUGGGGGGAACCCUGAUGCAGCGACGCCGCGUGAGUGAAGAAGUAUUUCGGUAUGUAAAGCUCUAUCAGCAGGGAAGAAAAUGACGGUACCUGACUAAGAAGCCCCGGCUAACUACGUGCCAGCAGCCGCGGUAAUACGUAGGGGGCAAGCGUUAUCCGGAUUUACUGGGUGUAAAGGGAGCGUAGACGGUAAUGCAAGUCUGGAGUGAAAUGCAGGGGCUCAACCCCUGAACUGCUUUGGAAACUGUAUGACUGGAGUGCAGGAGAGGUAAGUGGAAUUCCUAGUGUAGCGGUGAAAUGCGUAGAUAUUAGGAGGAACACCAGUGGCGAAGGCGGCUUACUGGACUGUAACUGACGUUGAGGCUCGAAAGCGUGGGGAGCAAACAGGAUUAGAUACCCGCGUACG